AUACGAAAGGUGCAAGCGUUGUUCGGAUUUACUGGGCGUAAAGAGAGUGUAGGUGGUUUAUUAAGUCGGAUGUGAAAUCCCGGGGCUCAACCUCGGAACUGCAUUCGAUACUGAUAGGCUAGAGUUUGGGAGGGGUAAGCGGAAUUCCGUGUGUAGCAGUGAAAUGCGUAGAUAUACGGAGGAACACCUGAGGCGAAGGCGGCUUACUGGACCAAUACUGACACUGAGACUCGAAAGCGUGGGUAGCAAACAGGAUUAGAAACCCCGGUAGUCU
rnacentral:rRNA from 1 species